UGCAGUGCUACCGCUGCCACGCAUUGGGC
rnacentral:sRNA from 1 species